AAUGAACGCUGGCGGCAUGCCUAACACAUGCAAGUCGAACGAGAUCUUCGGAUCUAGUGGCGCACGGGUGAGUAACGCGUGGGAACCUACCUUUUAGUACGGGACAACGUUUGGAAACGAACGCUAAUACCGUAUACGCCCUCCGGGGAAAGGCUUGCCGCUAAAAGAGGGGCCCGCGUCUGAUUAGCUUGUUGGUAAGGUAAUGGCUUACCAAGG
rnacentral:rRNA from 1 species